rnacentral:rRNA from 1 species
GGUCACGCCGUGCCAGGGGCGGCGGGAAGAUGGGGGGGGUAUGCUUUGUUCGGAAUUACUGGGCGUAAAGGGCUCGUAGGGGGCCAACUAAGUCAUACGUGAAAUGCCUCAGCGUAACUGGGGAACUGCGUGUGAUACUGGAUGGCUUGGAUUUGGGAGAGGGAUGCGGAAUUCCAGGUGUAGCGGUGAAAUGCGUAGAUAUCUGGAGGAACACCGGUGGCGAAGGCGGCAUCCUGGACCAAUAUUGACGCUGAGGAGCGAAAGCCAGGGGAGCAAACGGGAUUAGAUACCCCAGUAGUC